GCACCCACAACCAAGCUGAAUUAGACCCAUAGAAGAGGUGGUUUCACUAGUUUCUUGCAACCCCUCAGAACUCAAGUGACAAAUCCGACAAACCCUUUCUCCAUCCCAGUCCUUAAGACUGUCUCCUCCUCCACCAGCACAUUUCAUAUCAAUCACACAUGAUUGCUUCUCCCCUUUGGACACCUCUCCCUUUAACUCAUCCACCACUACCUUACUCGGUCCCAACCCACAGCCCUUGAUUUCCAAC
rnacentral:misc_RNA from 1 species